rnacentral:siRNA from 1 species
AGGGCUCUUUCUCCGAAGCAACCA